CGUGUAGGCGGUUGUCCAAGUCGGGUGUGAAAGCCUUGAGCUCAACUCAAGAAAUGCACUCGGUACUGGGUGACUAGAGGACCGGAGAGGAUAGUGGAAUUCCCAGUGUAGUGGUGAAAUACGUAGAGAUUGGGAAGAACACCAGUGGCGAAGGCGGCUAUCUGGACGGUUUCUGACGCUAAGACGCGAAAGCGUGGGGAGCAAACAGGAUUAGAUACCCUGGUAGUCCACGCCGUAAACGAUGGGUGCUAGACGUUGGCGAGCUUGCUCGUCAGUGUCGCAGCUAACGCGUUAAGCACCCCGCCUGGGGAGUACGGCCGCAAGGUUGAA
rnacentral:rRNA from 1 species